GGCCAUGUUGGUUAACAGAUCCUCAUCUGCUGGACGUCUGGCGAUGAUCUUUAUCGGUUGUCGUCAGUUGCCAGCACGUUUACUUUGAGAAAAUUAGAGUGCUAAAAGCAGGCUCACCCCUAUAUAUAUUGCAUGGAAUAAUGAAAUAAGAUCUCGAUUUUAUUUCGUUGGUUUUAGAAAUUGAGAUAAUGAUUAAUAGGAUCAGAGGGGGGCGUACGUACUGUGGUGUGAGAGGUGAAAUUCUUGGAUCGCCACAGGACGAACAGCAGCGAAGGCGUUCGCCAAGAAUGUUUUCAUUAAUCAAGAACGAAAGUUUGAGGUUCGAAGACGAUUAGAUACCGUCCUAGUUCAAACCAUAAACGUUGCCAACUGUCUUUUAGAUGCGGUUAUUUAUAUGACUCAUCUGGCGGAUCUCGAGAAAUCUAAGUUUUUAGGUUCCGGGGGAAGUAUGGUUGCAAAGCUGAAACUUAAAAGAAUUGACGGAAGGACACACAAGAAGUGGAGCCUGUGGCCUAAUUUGACUCAACACGGGAAACCUUACUCGGCCAGGACACUUUUAGGAUUGACAGAUUGAGAGCUCUUUCUUGAUUAGGUGGGUGGUGGUGCAUGGUCGUUCGUAGUUCGUGGAGCGAUUUGUCUGAUUAAUUUCGAUAACGAACGAGACUCCGGCUUACUAAAUAGUCUAAAGUUCGAAGGGACUUUUCAAGACUUCUUAGCAGGAUAAGUGG
rnacentral:rRNA from 1 species